AAGUCGUAACAAGGUUUCCGUAGGUGAACCUGCGGAAGGAUCAUUACCUAGAGUUGUAGGCUUUGCCUGCUAUCUCUUACCCAUGUCUUUUGAGUACCUUUCGUUUCCUCGGCGGGCUCGCCUGCCAAUGGGGACCCCAAUAAACCCUUUGUAAUACCUGUAAUCGUCUGACAAAACAAACAAAAAUUAAAACUUUCAACAACGGAUCUCUUGGUUCUG
rnacentral:misc_RNA from 1 species